CAAGAUAUAAACAAUAUGCAUGUAAACAUGAUUUCAGUGUGAUAAAAUAGCGUAUACUAACAUUUACGGUGUAAAGUUAGGCCUAUAUCAAAUUUGACAACUUCGUUGCCAUGACGACGCAAUGCAUAAUCCCAGUAAUUCCGGUAAAUGACGAUUUAAACAACUUUAAUGCUCAAGUAAUACACGAGUUUUAACAGAAUAAUUAUUGCAAGUGCUUGUAUAAACCUCUAAGCGUCACAUUUCUGCAUUUAAACCCUCCAAAAAUUGGCCCCAUUCACUUCCAUUGUACGUGCCUCACUGGAACCUCGAUUUUUGCUUUUUUUAAAGCAAAGGAGGGAUGAAUCCAAAUAUUGUAUUUUUUUGCAGUCAUUAACAUUAUGCUACAAAUGCUGUCAAAUGGACUUAACUUGUAUUGAACGCACAAUAUACACUUAACAUUGCUUAUGUAAACAAUUUCUUGAGGUGCUUUUACAUCUGAUUGCUGAUCCUAAUAUCACACUGAUAAAUGAUUCUAGACCAUUGUUCAUUCUUCACUUUCAAGUGUGAUCCGACAACACUGAAACUGAAAUAAAUGCAUCAAGUCUGAUUAUAAAGGUUUACAGUGAUGCUUAAAACAUCUUGUUAGUUUCAGGAUAAAGGAUCAGAUGUGAUUAACUCAUCUUGUGUUCAUUUGAAUGGUCACUGUGUAAAUUGAAUACAGUUCUAUGUGUUCUUCACCAUUCCUGCAUGCAAGACAAAAGCUGAAGAGGGUCCUGAAUGACUCCUCGAUUGGGACAAAACAUUUUUCGCCUUGUCUUCCUUCAUUUCUGUCCUCGCUCAGGCCAUCUGCUGUGUAAGUGCAGUUUUAUUGAUCAGAAUCAAUGCGCCUCGGAGCCCAUGAUGAUGUGUGCCGUUACUGACCAUCAGUUUGCGCUCAGUGCUGCAUCUGUUCCGGGUGACCCGCCGGGUUUUGGCUUGUGCACAGUGAUCCGACAGCUCUCGGCGCUGUGACCUUUAACCCUUGACACUUUCACCUCAUUGUGUCCAUGAAAGAGCCCACCAAACACGCUUGGACAGCACCGCUGGAGCCACAAGCUGAAAUCUUUCUAUGUGUAAAGGACUUGAAACAAUUUCACAGAAACAGAAAAUAGAGUAUUGUCCUAAUGAACAGGUUAACAUGAUCAAAUGAUUUGAGAUACAGUAGGAGUUGUUUCAUUGACCUUCUGAUUUUCAUGUCAGACAUUCAAUAAGGAAAAUAAAAGCAUCAUUAAAAAACAUUAUUAAAGAAAUAGCACGAUGAUGAUGACAAUUAUUAAUACUGUUUGUGGUAUAAUAAUUUUUACUUAAAAAAAAAAAUCACACUUUUUACUGCAAUUAAAAUAACUCAUCAUCUAGAGUAAAUACAUGUCGCUUUUAAAACUACUACAUUAAGUGCAUGCAUCUGUCCCUCCUUUUCAAAUGCUUUUUAAACACUGCAGGAGUGCCGAGCACUUUUCCUCCGGUCCCUCAGCAGGCCUGUGUGUGUGUGUGUGUGUGUGUGUGUGUGUGUGUGCGUGUGUGUGUAUUGAUUGUCUGAAGCUGGUUUGCAUUUCUCUCUGAUGCUCAGAACCACAGAAACUGUGUUCUGUACAAUCAACAUGUUUAUAUCAUGACUAGUGGACAAAUGUUUUAAACAUGUUACACUGAUAAGAAAUUACAAACACAAUUAAUAACCAUAUUAAUUUACUAAUUGCUCUCAGAGAAAAAACUGUGUGUGCAGUGGCGAUUUUAGGGGGUGGCCUGUGGGGGCCUGGGCCACCCCUGAAAUCUCAUUGGCCACCCUGUGGCCACCCCAGAGCUGAAUGGUAGUUCAUCAUGUUCAUCAACACAAGAACGAAGAACCAGUAGAAACACCUGUCAAUCAAAGAUGACAUCUCAGGUCAUUUGUUGAUUUAGAGCCACACUGACCCAGGGUCAGUUUUAUAUUUCUGACCAUUAUAGUAGUGGUGGGACUGAAGCUGUGUGAGCUGAUCUUUGAUCAGUGGGGGGAGGGGCAGGCCGCGGGUGGCCAGGCAGGUGCCAAAGGUCGCGGGCAGCGGGCGCCAGGUCUGGAGUAUAACGGUCGGUCAGAAGCACGAAGCUGACACGAGCUAGCGUCCACCUCCAACUUCCAAUGAGUUGACGACGUCGAUUUGUGGUCAAAAAGAAAGCUGUUAUUUGAGAGAAGAAAGAAAGUUAUACCAUUUGGAACAGCAUGAGGAUUCUCGUUGAGCGCGUCAUUCAGCGACGUGAAUGCUGGAUCCAGGAACUUCAUUGCCAGCUGGGACCUGACGGGAAGAUGGACAGAUAGAGGAAAUGAGGCACAGAAAAAAGACAAGCAAUGUUUCUGUUCCACUUCACAGGAAGGCCCGGUCCUGAUGUCCUGCUGAUGGCAGUGCAGCUGAAAGUGCUUCCAAUCAAUUCUGACCCAUCCAGCCCCCUGUCAGUCACCCCCUGCCUGAAGCGCUCAAUGCCUACUCUAAUUAAACA